rnacentral:lncRNA from 1 species
AAUCUAGAAGUUUUUUUAUAAUCAAUUUUAAAUGUUAAACUUCACCAUGAUGAUGUAAUGGGAUUUUAUUUCAAUUUUUUUUUUAAAGAAUUAGUUGGGAACAUGUUUCCUUAGUUAAUGGAGUAUGAUAUUUCGUUUUUCUUUAGGUAGAAACUUAAAAGAAUAAAAGAGCUUUUUUCUUUGAUGAAGUAGAAAACUUUAAAAGAAUAAUGAAAGAGGCUUUUCUUACAUUUUUAUUUAUAAAUGAAUGUUAUUUUGUACCGGUGUCUAGGAGGAAAAGAAGAAGUUCGAUAAAGAGACAGAAAAGAACUACAGUUUGUUAGAAAAACAUUUAAAUUUAUCAGCUAAGAAGAAAGAGCUACAAUUACAAGAGGCAGAUAGCCAAGUGGAGCAGAAUAGAAAACACUUCUAUGAGCUGUCCCUCGAGUAUGUAUGCAAGUUGCAAGAGAUUCAGGAGCGGAAGAAGUUUGAAUGUGUGGAACCUGUGCUAUCAUUUUUUCAGGGUUUGUUCACUUUCUAUCAUCAGGGAUAUGAACUUGCUAAAGACUUCAGUCAUUACAAAAUGGCCCUGCAGAUAAAUAUACAAAAUGUAAGUUGUGAUUGAUAUUUAUGCCUCUUAAAAGACUUUUUGCCAGAAAAUAUUUGUAUUGCCAAAACUUUCAUCAUCGUGGUAGUCCGUUGCUUGUGAACUUCGAGGAUAUAGUGCCAUCUUCUGGCUAACCAACCACAUCACUGAACAAAUCACUGCUGAUUCCCGUGAAUUCUCAUUUCGUGGUUUAUAACACAUCUCUUAAAAACAGCUACAUCCCUGUUGGUUGGUGGUGCAGAACUGUAUAAGGAGACUAUUGGUGUUAGCUCGGGAUUAAAAGUGCAGCAAGCAAGGUGACAGGCUGAAGCAAUGGGGUUGGCAGAAUCAGUAGUCAAUUGGUCUGUUUUUUUUUUUUUUUUCAUGAGAUUUGUUAAAGAAUAAAACUUGCUCAGAAUGAACACUGGUGUGC